AACGCGAAGAACCUUACCUAGGCUUGACAGUUGGGGAAAUCUGGCAGAGAUGCCAGGUCCGUAAGGGCCCCAAAACAGGUGGUGCAUGGCUGUCGUCAGCUCGUGUCGUGAGAUGUUGGGCUAAGUCCCGCAACGAGCGCAACCCUCGUCGUAUGUUGCCAGCGGAUAAUGCCGGGGACUCAUACGAGACUGCCGGGGUCAACUCGGAGGAAGGUGGGGACGACGUCAAGUCAUCAUGCCCCUUAUGGGUUGGGCUACACACGUGCUACAAUGGCAGUGACAAUGGGUUAAUCCCAAAAAACUGUCUCAGUUCGGAUUGGGGUCUGCGACUCGACCCCAUGAAGUCGGAAUCGCUAGUAAUCGCGUAACAGCAUGACGCGGUGAAUACGUUCCCGGGUCUUGUACACA
rnacentral:rRNA from 1 species